GUGCCAGCCGCUGCGGUAAUACGGAGGGUGCAAGCGUUAAUCGGAAUUACUGGGCGUAAAGCGCACGCAGGCGGUCUGACAAGUCGGAUGUGAAAUCCCCGGGCUCAACCCGGGAACUGCAUUCGAAACUGUCAGGCUGGAGUCUUGUAGAGGGGGGGUAGAAUUCCAGGUGUAGCGGUGAAAUGCGUAGAGAUCUGGAGGAAUACCGGUGGCGAAGGCGGCCCCCUGGACAAAGACUGACGCUCAGGUGCGAAAGCGUGGGGAGCAAACAGGAUUAGAUACCCUGGUAGUCCACGCUGUAAACGAUGUCGACUUGGAGGUUGUGCCCUUGAGCGUGGCUUCCGGAGCUAACGCGUUAAGUCGACCGCCUGGGGAGUACGGCCGCAAGGUUAAAACUCAAAUGAAUUGACGGGGCCCGCACAAGCGGUGGAGCAUGUGGUUAAUUCGAUGCAACGCGAAGAACCUUACCUGGUCUUGACAUCCACAGAAGUUUUCAGAGAUGAGAAUGUGCCUUCGGGAACUGUGAGACAGGUG
rnacentral:rRNA from 1 species